UGGGGAAUCUUGGACAAUGGGGGAAACCCUGAUCCAGCCAUGCCGCGUGAGCGAUGAAGGCCUUAGGGUUGUAAAGCUCUUUCAGCGAGGAAGAUAAUGACGGUACUCGCAGAAGAAGCCCCGGCUAACUCCGUGCCAGCAGCCGCGGUAAUACGGAGGGGGCUAGCGUUGUUCGGAAUUACUGGGCGUAAAGCGCACGUAGGCGGAUCAGUCAGUUAGAGGUGAAAGCCCAGGGCUCAACCCUGGAACUGCCUUUAAUACUGCUGGUCUGGAGGUCGCGAGAGGUGAGUGGAAUUCCGAGGGUAGAGGUGAAAUUCGUAGUUAUUCGGAGGAACUCCAGUGGCGAAGGCGGCUCACUGGCUCGAUACUGACGCUGAGGUGCGAAAGCGUGGGGAGCAAACA
rnacentral:rRNA from 1 species